UAUUCUUACAGCUAGCAUUUACACUACCUUUUGCCAUGUUAUAGUCCUUGACAUAUGACAGUCAUAGAACCUCCAGUGGUCACUAAGUGAUUGCAGCAGUCCUUAAGCCAAUGCCGUAGUCAAAUAUUUAGGAUAAACCAGAUCUUUCAGUAAUUUCCUUCUAAAAGUUGUCCUCGACUUACGACCGCAACUGAGCCCCAAAUUUCUGUUGCUAAGUGAAACAGAUCUUAAGCACCUUUUGCCCCAUUGUACCACCUUCCCUGUCACAGUUGUUCAGUGAAUUGUUGCAGUUGUUAAGUAAGUCACACGGUUGUUAAGUGAAUCUGGUUUCUCCCCUGACUUAGCCUAUCAGCCUAUCACAAAAGGGAUCACGUAACCUCAAAACACUGCAACCGUCAUAAAUAUGGAGCGGCAAGUACCCAAAUUUUUAUCACAUGACCGUGAGGAUGCUACAGUGGUCAUAAGUCUGAAAAAUGGACGUGUCCCUUUUGUCAGUGCUUGGUCACUAACCGAGGACUCUAUUUUCUUUUUCUCUCCCCGUAAUGGCUGAAAGUGGCAUCUCUUAGCAGAGGCUCUCAGGGAAGUUCCCUUCCUUUGCUUUGCUAAUUCUCUGUAUCUCCACUCUUCUUCCUCAGCUUUUGUAUCACCCAGAAGUUGGAAACUUCUUUAAGAUGCUUCUAGAUGUUCUCCGCGAAUGGAUGACUCAGCCGUAUCCUCUCAUUCAAAUAUUUAUUGUUCGAGGACUGGGGUACCUUAUGCAGCACCCCUUUGAGAAGAAGAUCUUAGAGCCAGUUUUCAUGCCUGUCAUAAACUGUGCCUAUCACCCAGAAAAGAGUAUAGCUAAGGAAGCUCUCUGGACCCUUCAGACAUCUUGAUGUAGCAACCUAUGGACGCAAGGCUGUCAAUCUUAUUCCUCUCCAAUUGAAAUAUUUCCUGACGAUGACAUCGAACUGAAGAAUACCUCCAUCACUAUUUUUUGGCAUGCUCCUGUAAGGGGUGAAGGAGAUACAUAACAGUAAUGUGACCAAAAAUAUUCUGAACAGCCUUGUUCCACUAGUCAUACAACUGGCAAAUGGUCGGAUGAAAGAGGCUGCUGCACGCAAUACAUGAAACUGGAUGUGGUGACUUCCAAACAAAUCGAAGAAGUUUUCCUCUGUCCGGGAUCUGCAAGCUGAUUGCGAAGCCUUGGUGGUUUAGGCUGCAGCUGAUUCAAUGGAAGAAAUCUUUCGGCAGUGUGGCCAUCAGAUCAAGCCGGGUCUUAUUAGUAGUCAACUCCUCUCCAAAGUCAACAGGAGGAUCUCCGAGACCAAGCAAUAAUAGUUUAAUAAUUUAGUAGUUUACUUUAUUGUGAUGGCACCUCGUACAAUGAAAUUAAGUGCCAUCUUCACUGUAUAUUAUACUUUUAAAAAAUCCUAUAUAAAUAAAACAAAAACAUACCUCC